UACGAAGGGGGCUAGCGUUGCUCGGAAUCACUGGGCGUAAAGCGCACGUAGGCGGCUUUCUAAGUCAGGGGUGAAAUCCUGGAGCUCAACUCCAGAACUGCCCUUGAUACUGGAGAGCUUGAGUUCGGGAGAGGUGAGUGGAACUGCGAGUGUAGAGGUGAAAUUCGUAGAUAUUCGCAAGAACACCAGUGGCGAAGGCGGCUCACUGGCCCGGUACUGACGCUGAGGCACGAAAGCGUGGGGAGCAAACAGG
rnacentral:rRNA from 1 species